GUGGGGAAUCUUAGACAAUGGGGGAAACCCUGAUCUAGCCAUGCCGCGUGAGCGAUGAAGGCCUUAGGGUUGUAAAGCUCUUUCAGCUGGGAAGAUAAUGACGGUACCAGCAGAAGAAGCCCCGGCUAACUCCGUGCCAGCAGCCGCGGUAAUACGGAGGGGGCUAGCGUUGUUCGGAAUUACUGGGCGUAAAGCGCGCGUAGGCGGACCAGAAAGUUGGAGGUGAAAUCCCAGGGCUCAACCUUGGAACUGCCUUCAAGACUCCUGGUCUGGAGUUCGAGAGAGGUGUGUGGAAUUCCGAGUGUAGAGGUGAAAUUCGUAGAUAUUCGGAGGAACACCAGUGGCGAAGGCGGCUCACUGGCUCGAUACUGACGCUGAGGUGCGAAAGCGUGGGGAGCAAACAGGAUUAGAAACCCGAGUAGUCC
rnacentral:rRNA from 1 species